UACAGAGGGUGCAAGCGUUAAUCGGAAUUACUGGGCGUAAAGCGUGCGCAGGCGGCUUUGCAAGACAGAUGUGAAAUCCCCGGGCUCAACCUGGGAACUGCAUUUGUGACUGCAUGGCUAGAGUGCGGUAGAGGGGGAUGGAAUUCCGCGUGUAGCAGUGAAAUGCGUAGAUAUGCGGAGGAACACCGAUGGCGAAGGCAAUCCCCUGGACCUGUACUGACGCUCAUGCACGAAAGCGUGGGGAGCAAACAGG
rnacentral:rRNA from 1 species